AAACAAAAAACAAACAAACAAACAAAAAAAAGUGCUCAGGCUGGAGGUGGGGCUCAGAUAGAGCAUUUCUCUAGCCUGCCCCAGGCCCUGGGGCAAUCCCCAGCAUGAAGAACCAGUAAAGACAUUCCUGUGCUUUCAACCAUAAAAAGUAGAGUACUCAGGAAUACAACGGAGGGACAAAAGCAAAACCUGAAAUCCACCUCUUCCUUCUCGACCUUAGAAACAGGCAUGGCUCUGACUUGCAUGUCCAUGCUGCUGCGCUUGCACAGCCCUGCCCUUAGGCAGGUGCCGCCGAUAUCACCGCUACUCAACUGGAUCUACAGAAGGCGAACCAGGCGGACGUCCCGGCGGACGUCCAAGUGAGCGUGGGCCCAAGGACAGCGGGGCGGACAAGCAGCACUGCAAGGGCAUUUGUGGUGACCACUGAGAAGAUGUGUGCAAGAGUGGCCUGACUUAAAAAUCACUUUUAGAAAGUGCACGAUUUACUCGGCCCUGGCGAAAAUUCAGUGAGGACUAACCUAAGCGAGUUGCCAUAACUUGGCUACCUACCUUUCUAGUGUGUUCUCCACUCAUUUGGCUCCAGGGCACGGAUACGUGGCCAAUUCAAACUGCUGUCAGCAUGAAGUGCACGCUGCCUCUCAAGACUUGGUACAGAAAAAGUAGUCUCUCGUGAACUGUUCACAUUGAGUAUAUGUUUAAAAUAUUAACUUUGCGUCUUCUGGGCUGAGUAAAAUUACCUCCCCCCGGGGCACUUUUCUUUCUUAAUAUGGCUACGAGCAAAUUGAGAGACCCCUCUGCAGGUCACCUGGUACUUCUCUGGGGCAGUGCCACCCUAGAAGACAGGAUUUGCAGGCUGUGCAGUGUGUUCCAGGAAUGCUGCCUGGCUAUCACUUAUCUCUGAGCACCCUGCCCCAGACUAGGACUGUUACAGUUGCUGCCUGUCUUUGGACAUACGGCCGGGGUAGGGGUGUCUGCCCAGCGUCUGCAGGAAGGGCCGUGUGAAGCAUGCUUGCACACACUGGCAUGGUGUGUGCAUGAGGAGCAGGCUGAAGUCCAGAGAGCUUUCAGGAAACCCUCCAUCAGCAAUAAAAGUAGUUUCUGAAAUACGAAGAAUCAACUAACAAACACAACCCUGAACAGAAACAUUCAGGCCCUCAGCGGCAAAAUGAAAUCUAAAACCUAGUGUAGAGCUGGCCUAUGAGCAGUAAUGUCCUAUAAAACUGCGAGUAAGUGCACACUUUAGAUGACAAAGGCGACUGCAUUAUCUUUUCGGAAUCAAAGCCGCUGCACCUGCACCCUCAAAUUUGCUGAGGGGCACUAGUUCCGCUCAAGGUUGCGUCAGCCACAGUGCUGAGGUAAAUAAGUAGGCACACCAGGUAGCAGCUAAUUGUCAUUAUUAAACGUUACAGCAGAAACAGAAGCCAACAGAUGUGCUCUGGGGUCACUGGCAGGUUCUUAUUUUUAUUGCCACCAAGUUCAGCUGGAAAGUGCACAGAUACUGCAAAGCAGUUGACAUUCUGCCAGCUUCCAAGAAUAAUAGUAAAAAUAAUCAUCAGGCUGCCUGCAGGGCUAUAAUAAAAGUUCCUUUCUCAUUACAGCAGGAUUUCACUUCUGGGGCGACAGUCCUUUAUUCUGAAAACGUGAAAACCCACAGUCCCAUCAUGCCACCUCCUCCAGCGCUGGGACAGAGGGGUCCACCACAGAUCGCACCAGGGACCACGCUGGACGUGCGGGGCUUCACAGGAACCCUUGCCCAGCGACUGCUGUGGAAAUCGACGCCUGCAGCCACAUCCCCUGGAGGAAGUGCUGUCUUGGCAGCAAGGGUGGUGAAGACACACUCUAGACCUGCCACCGAGUCACCCGCCCUGAACACGCUCCUGAAAGUAGGCCACCGAAGCCACACUCCAGCUCCUGGGACAACACGGAGGCAGGACUGACCCUCGGCUUGCAAGGCUCUCGUGUGUGGGGCACGCUGAAGGGAGCAGGGAUUCAGACUGAACGGUGGCAUCUACAUCGGGUUCCCGCCUGGGAGAUAUGUGGAGAGUCACUGUCCUCCAGUCACCAAGGUGGAAGCCUCCAUGUAAUUCCAGCCCACAUCAGGGAAGUGGAUGAACAUUACAACCAGUGACAAAUCUUUCUUCUUGGGGCCCAUGGUCUUGUUGGUUUCAUGUUGUUCCCCGUCAGGAGAGUGAGCUUCCUAAUGCGUGCAUGUGGGCUGCUCCUCAGAUCUAAACGCUGGGAUGGUCCUCUUCCAAAUGCCACUCCUAGGUCCCAGAGCGAGAUCUGAGGUCCUUUUUCCCUGGCUCCUCCCAAAGUCACAGGAAGACUCGCUUUUCCAGCCAUGCUGGACUUCGGGUGCUCGGUAGAUCUUGUCCAUGUCCUGACCUGUUCCACAUGCAGCCCCACUGGGAGCAGCUCUCGUUGUCCAUUUCCUGGAGGGAAACCCUGCAGGUCCUGCCAUUGGCGUCGGGUGAGUUUAUCCCACCACUGGCCUCCGUCCGGCAGGGAGGGUCUGAGGAGCAGUGUCCACAUCACCUGGCAAAGUGGAGGAGCCUGACUGGCUGACUCACUUCAAGAGGGUAGAGAGUAACCCAGGGGCAGGGUGUACACCACCCUGAAGUGGAUUCCAUGGGGAACCUGACCGAAAGACCUGUUGGGCUUUGUGGGGAUCUGAAGACCGCAGAUACAUUGCUGGCCUCUGGACAGGAAGGGUCCUACCAAAGUGGCAGUGUCACCUGCACGAUCUCCCACCUCAUCCCACAGUGCUGGGUGGGGCAGGGCAGCUGGCUCCUUGUGUUGCCCAAUGUGGGUCCACACUGGACAGAGACGAAGCUGGGUCCUG